UGUGAGUGCUAAAACAAUUAU
rnacentral:siRNA from 1 species